GCCUGGGACGGUAUGACCGCUGGAAGUCCGCAGACUCGACCACAAUCUACGUCCGUAGGAAAUUGUCUCCCGUGUUCGUGGUCAGUAAAUCAAUAAGAGGAGUGCACAAGCAAGAUGUUUAGAGCAAAUUUCGCCACCUUCAACCCGAAACUUAAAUCACUAAAAGU